AUAUAUAUAUAUAUAUAUAUAUAUAUAUAUAUAUAUAUAUAUAUAAAUAAAAAAUAAAUAAUUAUAGAUAUGUAUUAUAGUAUUUAUUGUACAGUUGCAAUGUAUUGUUAACUGCUUUGUCACUUCGACCAAAUGCAUUUUGAGCUUCUGAAAGAAAAUCUGAUCUGAUGUGCAUAUGAAGUCUGUAACUGUAUCGUUGGUAUGAAGGAUUCAUAUCAUCAAAGCUACUCUAAAUUUAUUCAGGUGUGUAACAUGAGCAUAAAUGGAAUCAUAACUGUGAACUGUCUAGAACAUUGUCUGAGUCACAGACAAUUGUGCACAUUUCGAAACUAUUUAACAAAUGUCAUCAGUGAAUAAAUGUUCUUUUAUCCAAAUAUGGGAGCGAUUUUAUUAAAAGCUGUUGAAAAGUAUUUUUCGGCUAGGGUCCAGUUUUUGUUUUUUUGUUUGUUUUAUUUGAGAAAAAGAAAAGCAUAUACACUACAUAAAGAAACAGUGUUUGCUUCUUUGUUGAUUCUGUCAGAUGGAAAACUACAAAUUGAAACUUGCACAUUUUUAUUGAUUUCAUAAGACUUAAGCAUGAAAAGAAAAGAUUAAAUAGAUCAAGUGCAGACUUCCAAUGGAGCCAUUUUUAUUAUCAUAAACUAUAGAUAUGUAUUAAGAUAUCUAUGAAAUUUUAGCCUGAUAUUUUCCAAAGAUAAUUAAAAAACAAACAAACAAUACAUUGAAAUUUGAAUCCAUGUUUAAAUGACAGUGUUGCACUAUUAAAAAUAAAAUCCUGAAAUAAUUACUCUUAUUUCUCAUCCUGACAUUUAGAAUCUGCAAUACCGGAAAAGCAGAUCAAAUAUUGUCUGAUUACGGAGUGAAAGCGGCAGUUCCUCCUUAAGGUCAGAGAUUGCAGCAUCUGAGGGCCUCUUCAAAAGAAGACGUAGUUGAUGAAGGCGUUCUGGAGCAGGACCAGAAAGACCACGACCAAGCAGCCAUGAGAUCUUAGGCAGCGUCUCCCUCGGGUGGGUGUCAACAGUGUUCACGGUCAGGUCUGUGGUAAUCCCGUCAAAAAACAAACAGAAAAAAAAUCUAGAUUAUAAAUCAACAUGUAACCAAAGCACUCUGUGUAUAACGCCAUAGUGUAGGAUGUAGUUCAGAAAAUGUCAAAGUAUAGUAUACUUUUGAAGAAUAACAUAGUAUGGCCUGUAGUUCAUAGUAUAGCAUGUUGGCAAAAAACCCAACUGAUUAUUAUGUGGUUCAAAAAGUGCAAAAUGAUAGGAUGUUGCCUAAAAUUGUCAUGUAUGAUAUGUGGUUCAAAAAAUGUCAUAAUAUAGCAUGUCGCCCAAAAAACCUCAUAGUAUAGCAUGUCGCUCUUGAAACAUCAUAAUAUAGCAUGUCAAUCUAAAGACGUCAUAGUAUAGCAUGUCGCUCUAAAAAUGUCAUAGUAUAGCAUGUCGCUCUAAAAACGUCAUAGUAUAGCCUUUGGUCCAAAAAACGUCAUAAUAUAGCAUGUAGUCCAAAGAACAUCAUAGUAUAGCAUGUCGCUCUUAAAACGUCAUAGUAUAGCAUGUUGCUCUAAAAACGUCAUAGUAUAGCAUGUCGCUCUAAAAACGUCAUAGUAUAGCAUGUCGCUCUAAAAACGUCAUAGUAUAGCAUGUCGCCCAAAAAACGUCAUAGUAUAGCACGUCAUCCAAAAAACAUCAUCAUAUAACAUGUCGCUCUUGAAACGUCAUACUAUAGCAUGUCACUCUAAAAAUGUCAUAGUAUAGCAUGCGGCUCAAAAACGUCAUAGUUUAGCAUGUCGCCCAAAAAACGUCAUAGUAUAGCAUGUCACUCUAAAAACGUCGUAGUAUAGCAUGUCACUCUAAAAAUGUCGUAGUAUAGCAUGUCGCUCUAAAAACGUCAUCGUAUAGCAUGUCACUCUAAAAACGUCAUAGUAUAGCAUGUGGCUCAAAAAACGUCAUAGUUUAGCAUGUCGCCCAAAAAAACGUCAUAGUAUAGCAUGUCACUCUAAAAACGUCGUAGUAUAGCAUGUCGCUCUAAAAACGUCAUCGUAUAGCAUGUGGCUCAAUAAACGUCAUAGUGUAGCAUGUCGCUCUUGAAACGUCACAGUAUAGCAUGUCACUCUAAAAACGUCAUACUACAGCAUGUUGCUCUAAAAACGUCAUAGUAUAGCAUGUCGCUCUUGAAACGUCACAGUAUAGCAUGUCACUCUAAAAAGUCAUAGUACAGCAUGUUGCUCUAAAAACGUCAUAGUAUAGCAUGUCGUCCAAAAAACGUCAUCGUAUAGCAUGUCGCUCUUGAAAUGUCAUAGUGUAGCAUGUCGCCCAAUAAAUGUCAUAGUGUAGCAUGUCACUCUAAAAACGUCAUAGUAUAGCAUGUCGUUCAACAAACGUCAUAGUAUAGCAUGUCGCUCACAAAACGUCAUAGUAUAGCCUUUAGUCCACAAAACGUUUUUAUGUCCCGGCUGUCUGAAGUAGGUGAGGAGCAACACCAAAACAGUCCAAACGCUGGUUUUCAGAGGGUUAGACGAGUAUUUAUUUGAAAGAGUAAGUUUACAACAACACAACGUGAGGGGGUUAAAAGCAAAUGGGUGUUAGUAAAAUAAAAAUAAAUAAACAGAACUAAAAGUGAACUUCACGUUGACAUUGAUAGGCAUUCCAACCAGGAACCAAGUAAAAGAUAAUCAAUACGAAAAAAACUCUUCCUGUUCACCUCUUAAAACCCAAAAACACACCGCAGUAGCACCCUAAACUAAAACUACCAAUGGGUUCCCUGUUUUCCUUUCUGAACAAUUCAAAUGUCCCUCUCUAUCUCCCCACACAUCCACCAACCACUGGAACACAUCUCCAAAGUUCUGCCGGGCCAGCUCAGCUUCCCCUCAGAAGAAGUGCCGCCACCUGCCAGAUGAAGGAGCCUUUUGAGAGGCAGCUGGCAUCGUGAUUGGACUGUACUUUGGUCUGUUCCAAUCCAGCUUCAGCUCCAGAGACGGCAGGCGGGACGAGUCAACGGAGGCCGGGUGGACGAAGGCACGCAGCUGAGUUGAAAAAAAAUGUCAUUUUUCAACAUGUUGUAAAAAUGUGCCAUAUGAUGAAAUAAUGUAAAGGAGGCCGUGAAAAACACUCCAGAAAGGUUUUCUUUGAAAGAAAAAUCAACAUGAAUUUUGGUGCAAAAAAACGCCAUAGUAUACUAUGUCGAAAAAUGUCAUUUUUCAACAUGUUGUGAAAACAUGCCAUAUGAUGAAAUAAUGUAAAGCAGGCUGUGAAAAACACUCCAGAAAGGUUUCCUUUGAAAAAAAAAUCAUGAAUUUUGGCAGAAAAACCACCAUAGUAUACUAUGUCGAAAAAAAAUGCGAUUUUUCAACAUGUAAAAAACAUGCCAUAUGAUGAAAUAAUGUAAAGUGGGCCGUGAAAAACACUCCAGAAAGGUUUUCUUUAAAAAAAAAAAUCAUCAUGAAUUUUGGCACAAAAAAACGCCAUAGUAUACUAUGUCGGAAAAAAAUGCGAUUUUUCAACAUGUUGUAAAAACGUGCCAUAUGAUGAAGUAAUGUAAAGGAGGCCGUGAAAAACACUCCAGAAAGGUUUUCUUUGAAAAAAAAAAAAUCAUCACGAAUUUUGGCGCAAAAAAACGCCAUAGAACGCCAAAAAUGUCAUUUUUGAACACUAAAUCUUAUUGAAAAAUAUUUUACUUAAGUCCACCUGUUUCAGCCAUCUCUACCCCUCAUUAGGUACCACUCUAAGGUACAUUAUACAAAAAAAAGUCCAGUAGAUGUCACUGUGUUUUGAAAUAGCAUGCAGAGCAAGUUAGUCUGCUCACAGGAAGUUUGCACGAGCAAAAUCACUCCUCACAUGAGGCCUCUGUUUGCUGUGAUUUUCAAAGGUAAAGUAAUACUUUUCACAUAUUAUGGUGCCUAAGGAGUUGCUGAACACAAACGUGUCAUUUGAAAUGUAAAAAAAAAAGAUUUAAAAGGGUAAAAUAAUUUUUCUCAACCGUUUGGUAGAGGUCAAUAUUUUAAAAAUCGCUGGGUCUCUUCAUAAAGAAACCAUUGAUUGUUGUUAUUAGCGCCCCAAAGAGAUAAGAAAUAUAAAGAAAUAAUUUUUUCAUUGCCUUUUUCUUGGUGAGGAUGUUUAAGGGUUAACUUAACAUCUGUAAACAAAACAAAAACCUAUCAACAGAGUUUUCUGUUAGUUUGUGUUCUUGUAAGUUUAUCUCCAAGAUUUUAAAUACUUUCAUUUACUGCAAAUGAAUAUCUACUCCAAAUGUCUCAAUAAUAAUCAUUAUCAGCCUUAAAAACCCACAAAACACCCCUCUAUACUGGACCACACUUAGUACAGUCCGGUUCCCCCUUCUAUAAAUCUGCUUGGAAUCGUCCACUUCCUGUUUGUCAAAGUGGCCUUCUACCUGGACAGGUUUUGUUGGAGCUCAUGCAACAAACAUUUUGGGUAACUGCACUUUAAUAUGGAUGGAUGACACUGAAUUAGAGUCUGUUUUCAUGAGACUGAGUUAAGAUGUGUAGCUCUGUCAUUAAAUAGUAAAUUAUUUCUCAGAAUUCACAGAGAAAAGUCUGAAAUGUUUGCUAGGUUAGCGUCCCACAUGUUCUUUGGCUCAGCUAAAGCUAACUCUCUCCAGUUUCUGGAUCUCUUGAGUUGCUUGUUGUUAAAAUAUCUUGCUAGAGGUGCUGAAAGUCUGAGAUGUUUGUUCAAAAUAAGCUCAUUCUCAAGUCUUAUCUGAACUGUCUUCUUUUGUUUUAACUUUCCCUAAACUUAGGAGUUAAUGAAAGAGCAACACAUCCAGACUCAGUCUCAUUUAUGUAGAGAUUAAACUUCAGUGUCAUUCAUUGAUGUUAAAGUGCAGUUUUUCAAAUGUUUGUUGCACAUGCUCCCGACCAAACCAGUCCAGGUGGAAGACGAUGUGAAGAGAAAGCUCCAGAGGAUGAAUGUCACACAUUUACGUUGGAAAUAAAUGUCCUUCAAUUUGA